AUUGAACGCUGGCGGCAGGCCUAACACAUGCAAGUCGAGCGGUAGAGAGGUGCUUGCAUCUCUUGAGAGCGGCGGACGGGUGAGUAAUGCCUAGGAAUCUGCCUAGUGGUGGGGGAUAACGUUCGGAAACGGACGCUAAUACCGCAUACGUCCUACGGGAGAAAGCGGGGGGAUCUUCGGACCUCGCGCCAUUAGAUGAGCCUAGGUCGGAUUAGCUAGUUGGUGAGGUAAUGGCUCACCAAGGCGACGAUCCGUAACUGGUCUGAGAGGAUGAUCAGUCACACUGGAACUGAGACACGGCCCAGACUCCUACGGGAGGCAGCAGUGGGGAAUAUUGGACAAUGGGCGAAAGCCUGAUCCAGCAAUGCCGCGUGAGUGAUGAAGGCCUUAGGGUUGUAAAGCACUUUCAGCGAGGAGGAAGGGUGUGUGUUAAUAGCACAUAGCCUUGACGUUACUCGCAGAAGAAGCACCGGCU
rnacentral:rRNA from 1 species